GGGAAUAUAGCUCAGUUGGGAGAGCGCUACGUUGACAUCGUAGAGGUCAGUGGUUCGAACCCACUUAUUCCCACCA
rnacentral:tRNA from 1 species